rnacentral:rRNA from 1 species
UGGGGAAUAUUGGACAAUGGGCGCAAGCCUGAUCCAGCCAUGCCGCGUGAGUGAUGAAGGCCCUAGGGUUGUAAAGCUCUUUCACCGGUGAAGAUAAUGACGGUAACCGGAGAAGAAGCCCCGGCUAACUUCGUGCCAGCAGCCGCGGUAAUACGAAGGGGGCUAGCGUUGUUCGGAUUUACUGGGCGUAAAGCGCACGUAGGCGGACUAUUAAGUCAGGGGUGAAAUCCCGGGGCUCAACCCCGGAACUGCCUUUGAUACUGGUAGUCUUGAGUUCGAGAGAGGUGAGUGGAAUUCCGAGUGUAGAAGUGAAAUUCGUAGAUAUUCGGAGGAACACCAGUGGCGAAGGCGGCUCACUGGCUCGAUACUGACGCUGAGGUGCGAAAGCGUGGGGAGCAAACAGG